rnacentral:rRNA from 1 species
UCGCGGCCUAUCAGCUUGUUGGUGAGGUAACGGCUCACCAAGGCGACGACGGGUAGCUGGUCUGAGAGGACGAUCAGCCACACUGGGACCGAGACACGGCCCAGACUCCUACGGGAGGCAGCAGUAGGGAAUCUUGCGCAAUGGGGGAAACCCUGACGCAGCGACGCCGCGUGCGGGACGAAGGCCCUAGGGUUGUAAACCGCUUUCAGCAGGGACGAAAUUGACGGUACCUGCAGAAGAAGGCCCGGCCAACUACGUGCCAGCAGCCGCGGUAAUACGUAGGGGCCAAGCGUUGUCCGGAAUCAUUGGGCGUAAAGAGCUCGUAGGCGGUUUGGUAAGUCGGAUGUGAAAUCUCCACGCUCAACGUGGAGCGGCCAUUCGAUACUGCCAUGACUGGAGUCCGGUAGAGGAGUGUGGAAUUCCCGGUGUAGCGGUGAAAUGCACAGAUAUCGGGAGGAACACCAGUAGCGAAGGCGGCACUCUGGGCCGGUACUGACGCUGAGGAGCGAAAGCGUGGGGAGCGAACAGGAUUAGAUACCCUGGUAGUCCACGCCGUAAACGUUGGGCACUAGGUGUGGGGCUCUAUUCCACGGGUUCCGUGCCGCAGCUAACGCAUUAAGCGCCCCGCCU